CCUGCACGCUGGAGGACCGCAAUCAGUUCUUAUUCUUCCCUUAGCUUCGCGAAUCUGCUCUAGGAUGGAUGCAGAGGCUCCUGUUUCCAUGGUGAUGAAGAGGCUGGUACAGCGCUCUCCAAGUGUAGGCGCUGGAGAGAAUUGUCUUAGAAUCGAAAGGUGUCGCAGCAGGGCCCUUGAGAAAGCCAAGCCUGAGACACCAGACCUCCCUGGAGCUCCAUCCAGCAGCGCCUCCACAACUUCUUCGCCCCUGUCCCGCUAACCUGGGGGACUCGAACCCUAAAAAGCAAGCAGAGUCGCCCCAGACUCAAGCAGGGUCGCAGGUCCGUUCGCUGCCAUUAGACUGGCAUUAGAGCCUGCCCCUUGGCGUUCUGACCUCUACUGAAGACCAGGCUGAGACACGCAGCCUAACGGACCAAACGACCUCUGGAUUCCGGGCUUCCAUUGGUGGACAGCCAUUUUUGGAUUACCUGGACCACAAUCUGUAAGCCAUCCAAAAAAUCCCAUUAUCUAUGUUGUAUAUCACUAUUCACUAUACACGGUAUAUAUUAUGUGUGAUAUAUUCUAUAA
rnacentral:sRNA from 1 species